UACGGAGGGGGUUAGCGUUGUUCGGAAUGACUGGGCGUAAAGCGCGCGUAGGCGGAUCGGAAAGUUGGGGGUGAAAUCCCGGGGCUCAACCCCGGAAUGGCCUUCAAGACUCCUGGUCUUGAGUUCGAGAGAGGUGAGUGGAAUUCCGAGUGUAGAGGUGAAAUUCGUAGAUAUUCGGAGGAACACCAGUGGCGAAGGCGGCUCACUGGCUCGACACUGACGCUGAGGUGCGAAAGCGUGGGGAGCGAACAGG
rnacentral:rRNA from 1 species